rnacentral:lncRNA from 1 species
GUUUGCCCCCUCCAGCGGCAGGAUGUGAGCCACCGGCAAGGAGGGACGCCAAUAAGGCGUCCGAUAAGUCUGCAAGGCUGCAUCGUCUCAGCUGUUUUGGAUGUAGGAUCGGUUGGGCCACUGCUUCAGGGGGUCUUGCUUGAUCAAACCAAAUUAGUCUGGAAGGAAUCCACAGCUUUCCAUUUUAUGUGGAAACGUAAGUAGAAAUUCUUCUCCCAAGUAACCUGUCCUUAUAUUUAAAUUUAGAAGUCAAAGCAUUUUAAAAAUAUAUAAGUUGGACUAAUUGAGUAGCACUUAUAAUCAAAUGUGUUUUAUCAGCUGUAGCUCUUUCCUCGGCAAUCAAACAAUUUAAAGACAACAGUAUAACAUAUAGUAUCCAGACUCUGUGAGUAUUUUCCAUCUUUACCUGGCUUUUUAAUAUUCUAUUUCUUUUACUUCCUUUUUUUCCCCCCCCUGAGACAAGGUUUCUCCGUGGAAAUCCGCCUGCCUCUGCUUCCUUCAGCAAAUCCUACUGGCGUGUGCCACCACCACUGGCUUCUCUUUCUCUCUCUCUCUCUCUUCUCUCUCUCUCUCUCUCUCUCUCUCAAUUACUUUAUCCUGUUCUUUUCUCUCACAAGCCUACAUAUAUUUUUAAAUACACUGUAAACCUUUAGGAGUUUUUCUUCAUCUGAAUCUGUCUUUACUGUAAAUCUUUACCUUUUUCUGGCUACACGAUCUUUUAUCUGCUAAACAGCAUUGCUAAAAUUAAAGCAGUGGCUGCUUUAGUGGAUGUCUUUCCAAGAUGGCGAAGGUAUGUUUACCGCCAGCACUGAGAGCUAUGCUCACUGCCUUGGUCUAUGCUGUCAUCAAGGAACACGCUUUCGGCUUGGAGAUGUGGUUGCUGCCACUGCCAGCUGCUCAUACAUACCAUUCAAUUGUUAGCAAGAGCCCUGUGGUUUUUUGUUUUUGUUUUCUUUUUUUUCCAAUUAUGCUGAGUCAGGAAGCCUCUCUUAAAGGAGCCACUUGAGUAUCUGCUUGUCUCUAGCAAAACAGAGACUACCCGAGAAAAUACCACUACCAAGAAGUAGUGCUUGUCUCUGUUCCUUUGCUUCUAAAUUCCCUUUUUAAGUUUUUGUGAAGUUUUUAUGUGGAAGUUCAUAAAACCAUGUCCUGACACCAUUUGGUAAUGAUAAAUCUUUCUGCUACGUCACCCGAGCCCCGCCGCCACGUGGGCGUCCAGAAUAACACACUGAGUCUUAUAUUAGGUACAGUGCCUCUGGCCAAUGACAAAGAUUUAUUUGCUAACUCUGUCUUAAGUAUCACCCAUAACUAUUAAUCUAUAUAUUUUAUAAACUUAUCUUAUUGAGCACGCUGGUGGAAUAUAUCCUGUCUUCCUGGUGAUCACGUGGUGGCUGCUGUCUCUACUACAUUUCCCAGAAUCCUCCUCAACUCCUAGUCCCACCUAACUUGCUCCCCUAUUGGCCAACAAUGCUUUAUUUAUCAACCAAUAAGAUAAACAUAUACACACAAGGAUUUCCCCAUCACGGAAUAAACCAUUUUCCUCCUCAAGCUGCUUUUCAUCAGUGUUUUCUCACAGCAACAAAAAACAAACUAUUAGGAUACUGUGUGUUUCCAUGUGAGCCACAUACUCUUAAGAACAGGGUAAAAACAGAGAGGGCCUGACAGGGACAGGAGCAGCCAAGAACACAUCUUGGGCAAGGCCAAUGGCUCCAGAACCAAACCCAAGUAGGCACAGGAAGAGGUUACAGGUAGGAACACAGACACGAUGACUAGAGAAGAAAACUGUUGAAAGGAGGUGAGAUUUCCACACAGUGCCCAGUGCUCUACAGGCACCAGCCUGACUUCUGUUCAAGCCUCUGUAGUGAAGCUUGACUCUUCCUCACUGUGUGGCCUCAGCCGAGUUACUCAGUUUCUCUGUGGCUUGAUUUUUAAGUCAAAGCCUUGUGUGAUGAGUUGGGUCAUGAGAUGAGGAGCUUGAGUGAGGACUUGAAUUGACUCACUGAGGGGCUUGCCAUAGAACUCAGUGCCAUGCCUUGGAGCGCAGUGGGUACUUUCUGUCUUAAAUCUCAUCCACAUUUGUUGGUCCUGGUGAAGGAAGGCUUGUGAUUUAAACCCAGGCAACGAGGCCUAGGCUGGGCACACC